rnacentral:rRNA from 1 species
UACGUAGGGUGCAAGCGUUGUCCGGAAUUAUUGGGCGUAAAGAGCUCGUAGGCGGUUUGUCGCGUCUGCUGUGAAAACUCAGGGCUUAACCCUGAGCCUGCAGUGGGUACGGGCAGACUAGAGUGUGGUAGGGGAGAUCGGAAUUCCUGGUGUAGCGGUGGAAUGCGCAGAUAUCAGGAGGAACACCGAUGGCGAAGGCAGAUCUCUGGGCCGUAACUGACGCUGAGGAGCGAAAGCGUGGGGAGCGAACAGG